CCGGUUGCUUCUAAUCUCUUCAUGGGCAGAAGCUGUUCCAUCCUCCCCGUUGCUCUCAGUGGAGAUGGAGGCACCUUAGGUGUGAAUCAAAAAGGGGGAUAUGAAAACCCUGCUGACGUGCGGAACAGCU